CGUAACACGUGAGGAACAUACCCAUCGGCGGGGGAUAGCCGGCCCAACGGCCGGGUAAUACCGCGUACGACCUUUUGAGCGCAUGCUCGAGGGGUGAAAGCAGCAAUGCACCGGUGGAGUGCCUCGCGGCCUAUCAGCUUGUUGGUGAGGUCACGGCUCACCAAGGCGACGACGGGUAGCUGGUCCGAGAGGAUGGCCAGCCACAUUGGGACUGAGACACGGCCCAG
rnacentral:rRNA from 1 species